rnacentral:lncRNA from 1 species
CACCCUUUGACUUAUGUCAUAAAACAAACAUUAUAAACCCGCACAUCUUGAAUCUACCCUAUUUUAACAGUACCUGCCCUACAACAAAACCCACCUUUUGAAGAAUGAUACCCAUUUACCCGUAAAGUUAUGACACUUUAUUGCUUAUUCAAUUUUUUUUUUUCAUUGAGCACAUGCAUCACCAGUUGGGAAACCUUGGCCUAAAAUAAGCACAUACCCACCCUUAUAAUAACCACUGAGCACAUGCAUUAGCAUUUGGGAAACCUUGGCCUUAAAUAGGC